GACGAACGCUGGCGGCGUGCUUAACACAUGCAAGUCGAACGGAGAACUUUCUUCGGAAUGUUCUUAGUGGCGAACGGGUGAGUAACGCGUAGGCAACCUGCCCUCUGGUUGGGGACAACAUUCCGAAAGGGAUGCUAAUACCGAAUGUGAUCCUCUCUCCGCAUGGAGAGAGGAUGAAAGAUGGCCUCUACUUGUAAGCUAUCGCCAGAAGAUGGGCCUGCGUCUGAUUAGCUAGUAGGUGGGGUAACGGCUCACCUAGGCGAUGAUCAGUAGCCGGUCUGAGAGGAUGAACGGCCACAUUGGGACUGAGACACGGCCCAAACUCCUACGGGAGGCAGCAGUGGGGAAUCUUCCGCAAUGGACGAAAGUCUGACGGAGCAACGCCGCGUGAGUGAUGAAGGCCUUCGGGUUGUAAAACUCUGUUGUCAGGGACGAACGUGCCGAUUUAUAAUACACUUCGGCAGUGACGGUACCUGACGAGGAAGCCACGGCUAACUACGUG
rnacentral:rRNA from 1 species